rnacentral:misc_RNA from 1 species
GAUGAAGAACGUAGUGAAAUGCGAUAAGUAAUGUGAAUUGCAGAAUUCAGUGAAUCAUCGAAUCUUUGAACGCACAUUGCGCCCCCUGGCAUUCCGGGGGGCAUGCCUGUCCGAGCGUCAUUUCUGCCCUCAAGCCCGGCUUGUGUGUUGGGCGUGGUCCCCCCGGUUUAGGGGGGACCUGCCCGAAAGGCAGCGGCGACGUUCCGCCUAGGUCCUCGAGCGUAUGGGGCUUUGUCACCCGCUCGGGAGGGGCCUACGGGCGUUGGCCAUCCACCAUUUAUUUUUUUUACGGUUGACCUCGGAUCAGGUAGGAGUUACCCGCUGAACUUAAGCAUAUCAAUAAGCGGAGGA